UGGAAAGAAUGAAGGAAAGGGUGACAACUAUUCAUUGUUGAGAAACUGAAGCCACUUGCAUUUGGGGUGAACCAGUAAUUAACACUAGGCAAAUAUGGCCCCAGCAGUAACCACUGAAGGAGCCUCUGCUUCCACAGGUUAAAGAAGACAUUCCUGUAACCCAGGAGAUUCCAAGGACUGCAAGAGCAAGGUACCACAGCAUCCCCAUGUUACCAAACAAGAGACAAAGAUCAGACAGAUUACAGACUUCAUUACCAUAGGGACCCUAAAGGAUGUCAUAAACCUCAGAAAACCCCCUACAUUGCCAGCCCUUAGAGAAGAAACUGAAAAUGCAUGUGCAGCAGUCUCAAUGGACACUUUGACCAAGAUCAUUCAAGCAGUAGUUUGCUGUACUAAUAAAUGUCUACAAGCUAAUGGCCAC
rnacentral:lncRNA from 1 species